CAAUAGCGUAUAUUAAAGUUGUUGCGGUUAAAAAGCUCGUAGUUGGAGUUCUGCCAGGUGACGCUCGUCCGCCCAAGUGGUGUGUACAGGGCGUGCAUCUGGCCCUUUCAAGGGGAACGUGUCUGCUCUUUAUUGAGUGGUGCGAGAUCCUUGACUUUUACUUUGAGGAAAUCAGAGUGUUCCAAGCAGGCUCUCGUCGUGUAUAGCUCAGCAUGGAAUAAUAGCAUUGGACUUCGUUUUCUAAGCUGUUGGUUGCAAGAAGCGAGGUAAUGAUGAAGAGGGAUAGUUGGGGGGUAUUCGUAUUUAACUGUCAGAGGUGAAAUUCUUGGAUUUUUUUAAAAGACGAACAAUUGCGAAGGCAUCUACCCAGGAUGUUUUUGUUGAUCAAGAACGAAAGUUAGGGGAUCGAAGACGAUCAGAU
rnacentral:rRNA from 1 species